GACAGAGGUGCCGAGCGUUAGGCGGAAUCACUGGGCUUAAAGCGUGUGUAGGCGGAUCCGUAAGUACCUUGUGAAAUCCCACGGCUCAACCGUGGAACGGCUGGGUAUACUGCGGGUCUUGAGCCACUUAGGGGCAACCGGAACAAACGGUGGAGCGGUGAAAUGCGUAGAUAUCGUUUGGAACGCCAAUGGUGAAAACAGGUUGCUGGGAGUGUGCUGACGCUGAGACACGAAAGCCAGGGGAGCAAACGGG
rnacentral:rRNA from 1 species